rnacentral:rRNA from 1 species
AACGUAGGAGGCGAGCGUUAUCCGGAUUUACUGGGCGUAAAGCGCGCGUAGGUGGCUCUGUAAGUCGGGCGUGAAAUCUCCUGGCUCAACUGGGAGGGGUCGUCCGAUACUGCGGAGCUUGAGGGCAGGAGAGGGAGGUGGAAUUCCCGGUGUAGUGGUAAAAUGCGUAGAUAUCGGGAGGAACACCAGUGGCGAAGGCGGCCUCCUGGCCUGCCCCUGACGCUGAGGCGCGAAAGCGUGGGGAGCGAACGGG